GGGUAUAACUCUCCCCCUUGAUAGACAUUCAAAUAGGGACAGCCCUCCUCACAUUAUUCACGCCUGUAACAGAUCCCCUAUGCUACGACUGAGUAUAUCAGUUAGAAGUCUCCCAAGUCCCAAAGAGAAGUAGUAAUUAUAGCUCUGGUAUACCCAAACAUCAGCCAGGACUUGAUGAAGGGUACAAGAAGAAUGUUUUAUUAUGGCCCAGUGGCUGUUUAUACACACCGACCCC